AUAAAGGAAGCGCAUGCACCGCUUCUAGCAAAAUCAAAAUGACAUGCUUUAUAAAUAGAAAUUAAGUGAAUGCCUCCAAGAUGUGAUUGAAUUUGUAUGUGCACCUCAGACCGUGACACCUCCAUCAAUUCUCUAAAGCUAAAUUGAAUUCCACUUAAGUAAACACCUUGCAGCCAGCUGCUUCCUUUCAUUAAAUCAGCGCUUCACCUUUCUUCAAGAGAAGAGAAAAAAAAUUCCAUCUUCAAGCUGUGCACCAAUCGCUUUCUAAAUCAUCUACGUGCUUAAACAAGUAAGUGGGCCGUGAAUCAUUAAACUAAGGCAGCUUCUUGUGUUGCAGCACACUCCAUCACCAUUCCAGCACCCUUGCACUCUCGGAAAAAAAAAAAAGAAAUUUAUAGUGACCGCUGCUCCUAAAACAAAAUAUGCCCUAUUAAAAAGUGUGUGCA
rnacentral:lncRNA from 1 species